UUAGAUAACACAUUUACAAAUCAGAUUUACAGUAUUAAUAUUUUAAAUGUGAAAUUCAUAAUCCAGUGUUAUUUUAAUAUUGUUUCUAUAUUAUUAAAGUAUUUAUUAUUUCAUAUUUGAUAAAUCUAUUAAUAAAUAUGAUUUAUUAAUAUUUAAAAUCAGCUUUUAUUUAGUGUUCCUUUAUUUGUAUUUCCGUUUUAGUCAUUUUAGUAUUUAAAUUUUCUUAAAUUUAAGGUUUUCCUCUAAAAUUUUGUAUUUUAAACAGUAAAUGGGAAAUAUCAAUAGUGUUAGUUAACAGUAACAACACUGACCCGGACCCCAGACCACCAGUUUGAAGUGAAUUCGGUUGAGUUUGUAAAAAUUGCUUUCAAGCUCUGACAACAAAACUUGGAUGUCCACCAUAAGUUCUAGUAUGAAAUACACAAACUUCAAUUCAGUAUCAAUUGGACAUAUUGGGAAAGUUUUCUGUGGUGGCUCUCAAACACCAGCUAAAAUUAUAUACGGCUGUACGAGAGCUUAUCUUUUCUUUUUCACACGACUGGCCGUUCUAUUUGUUUGUUCCUCUUUCCUCUCAGCGUCCAUGUUUGAGUGAGUAUCGGCACUGAGGGACAGGCUGGAUCCAUGUCUCCGCUCACCAACCUGCAGCCUUGAGUAAUGGAGGCCAUCUGCUUCCAAAGAGCUCCGUCAGCAAAAAGGAGUCAGCUGAAAAGAUUUCAAUUAUCAAUAUACCAUUUAAUACAUCGCCCGCAGGCCAAACAGUCUGGCGUUCAGACAGCGUGAGAUGGAGGAUGUUAUUCCUCAGCUACAUGGGUGGAUUCUGCAACGCGGCAAAUCAGGGUUCAGAGCUGACUCGCAUCUAUCACGCCGUGGAUAAAUGACCAUGUCUGAGGAGAAGCAAACAUCUCUGCGCCUUAGCAGACCGAACUGCUGUAACACUCGUGGAUCUGAGACCAGGGUUUUAUUUAGCACAAGAUCAGUGAUGGACGGACAGACUCCAGCGAGACAGAUGGGCAGAUGUGGCUUCACAGCAUUUUAUAGGAUGAAUUCAUCUGAUGAAAAUAUGUUUCAACCUGUCCACGCCAGCAUCCAGCUACCUCGACUAGCUUCUGCCUUGUAA
ensembl:lncRNA